rnacentral:lncRNA from 1 species
UAUUUUAGGGAUAACAACAUAAUGUAUCAUGAGCCUCCCUGAUUCAAAUCCACCCUGAUUCCCAGGUUCUUUCUUGGUUUUCAGAACUGUUGUUACCUCCUGUCCUUGUGGGCCCUGGAAACACUUGGCAGCAACAAUAUCAAAGCAGGGGAAGAAAAGCCAUUUUCUGGAGAUUACCAGCUCUGGAGGGAACUGGGGAAGAUCCAUUUGCUAGUGAUUUCAAAGUCCUUGCUUAAGACCUCUCUGCCACGGUACCUGUUUGAAGGGUACUAGGGGGUGUCCUGAGGGUGCUCAGUGUUCUGGGACCCUCAUCCACACAGCGCUGGAGAUCUGAGAGCAGCAGAACCAUCAGGCCCCACAGGAAUGAUUCUCCUGCUUGUGGAUCACAAACUUGGCUGCAGGACAAAGGGCCAUUCAUCACGCUCCAAAGUGCUGCAAAGGGCUCCCGUGUUCCACCGGAGAAGUGCCUGCAUUCGAAUCCAAGCGAGAAAGUUUUCUCCCUGUGCUUGAGGCCACUCCAGAGAGUAAUGGAGCUUGGCGCUGCUUUAGGAUCCUUUUGGAUGAGUUAUAGGGGCAAGCACCUUGUCAUGCGCCGCUCGGUCUCCAGCAAAUCUGGCCUUUCUUGGCCUUGGAAAGCUGUGGAAAACUCAAGAGAGGAAAACCAACUUCUGCCUGCCAAUGAACUCCAUAAAGACCCCUUAAAGGUAGAUGACAUGGUGGAAAACGUCCCAAAACCAUAA